rnacentral:piRNA from 2 species
CUUCUCUCCGAUGCCCAGAUGAUG